UCUAAGUAGACAGUUUCGAAUCUGAGCUGUUCCAGACAGUGGCCACUGAAGGGCAUAGCGUCACAGUACACACUGUGGGAUAAACCAACUAGAUGAGUGUAGUGGGAACUGCGGGUGCCCACCCAAACACCCAAUUUGAUUUCAAAGUCAUGCAGUAGAGUGAAACAUCUGGAUGAAGACCACAUUUCCCAAUCUCUUCCAGCUGGGUGACAUCCAUUGCUAAGAUGAAACUCAUACCCUGCGGACCAGAGGAACACCCUUAGAAUAACAGAGAUCUGUAAGACUUCCUGCUCCUAGCAGCAAUGCCUUAUGGGUUAAGAUCCAACCCCAUCAAGAACACGGGAUAUCAACAGGAACAAACUAUAUGUUAGCUGACAAAAACUACAAUUCCCAGGAUGCUUUGCAGAGAAGUGACUGUCCAGAUGAACACCUGGAUUGUGCCUUCUGUAUGCUUUGAGUGACUGGAUGCACAGGUCAAGAAUUCAGUUUUGAAAGAAAGAGCCUUUGAAGGGAUAAUGGAUAAAUAUGGGAGGAAAAUGUAAAUGUUGAGAGCCUGUGGUGGUAAUGCCUAAGAGGAGAGAACAGGAUUACUGAUGGACCACUGAUGGUGUAAGUGUGGCAGGAUUCGGGGGAGGGGGAUGCAUGAGAGAGGAUAGAGCAGAGAAAC
rnacentral:lncRNA from 1 species